rfam:Mus musculus chromosome 11, GRC primary reference assembly.
AUUAAGGUGUUUCUCAACACCACCAGCAGUGUGUGUGUGUGUGUGU